GGCGCAAAAUAAGACUCAGAAACGGAUUUGGGGUCACGGGCGCGUCCCGGUCGGCAUUCCCCAGCUCUGGGGGUUUUCUCCUCAAAUCCCUGUCGGAAUCUCCUGAGCGCGUUUUGAGUGCAGACUGGCCUUUUUUGGUUAAAUCCUCUCUUUUUUUUCCCUUUCCUCGGCUUUUUCUCACCGUUUUUUUGCCUUUUUUCCCUGCGUUUUGCUGCUUCCCUGAAGGGGAAAAACACUCGAGACACCCCCUCCCCCUUUCCCCACCCCCCCCAAAAAAAUACAAAACAUUUCUUUUAUCAUUUCUCUCCCUUUUUUUUUUUUAUCACCGGCCCCUCCCGCGCGACGCCUUUGGGUUAAAAACAAAAGAUUUUGGACACUUACUGAGCGGCGCCGGCGGGAGCGGCGGAGCCGGAGGGCGCUGGAGGAAUUUGGGGGGUUUUCCCCAUUUCUGGGGAGUUUAAUAGAAAAAGGGGGAAGGGGAAGGGGCAUUUUCCUCAAAUUCCUCAAUUUUCCUGGCUCCGGGACC
rnacentral:lncRNA from 1 species